GGCAAUGGGGCAGCUAUAAUGCAAGUCGAGCGGACAGAAGGGAGCUUGCUCCCGGAUGUUAGCGGCGGACGGGUGAGUAACACGUGGGUAACCUGCCUGUAAGACUGGGAUAACUCCGGGAAACCGGAGCUAAUACCGGAUAGUUCCUUGAACCGCAUGGUUCAAGGAUGAAAGACGGUUUCGGCUGUCACUUACAGAUGGACCCGCGGCGCAUUAGCUAGUUGGUGAGGUAACGGCUCACCAAGGCGACGAUGCGUAGCCGACCUGAGAGGGUGAUCGGCCACACUGGGACUGAGACACGGCCCAGACUCCUACGGGAGGCAGCAGUAGGGAAUCUUCCGCAAUGGACGAAAGUCUGACGGAGCAACGCCGCGUGAGUGAUGAAGGUUUUCGGAUCGUAAAGCUCUGUUGUUAGGGAAGAACAAGUGCAAGAGUAACUGCUUGCACCUUGACGGUACCUAACCAGAAAGCCACGGCUAACUACGUGCCAGCAGCCGCGGUAAUACGUAGGUGGCAAGCGUUGUCCGGAAUUAUUGGGCGUAAAGGGCUCGCAGGCGGUUUCUUAAGUCUGAUGUGAAAGCCCCCGGCUCAACCGGGGAGGGUCAUUGGAAACUGGGAAACUUGAGUGCAGAAGAGGAGAGUGGAAUUCCACGUGUAGCGGUGAAAUGCGUAGAGAUGUGGAGGAACACCAGUGGCGAAGGCGACUCUCUGGUCUGUAACUGACGCUGAGGAGCGAAAGCGUGGGGAGCGAACAGGAUUAGAUACCCUGGUAGUCCACGCCGUAAACGAUGAGUGCUAAG
rnacentral:rRNA from 1 species